UGGGAGGUCGUCUAACGGCAGGACAGGGGCCUUUGGAGCCUCUAAUGAAGGUUCGACCCCUUCCCUCCCAGCCC
rnacentral:tRNA from 1 species